rnacentral:rRNA from 1 species
GUCGAGAAUCUUUCUCAAUGGGCGAAAGCCUGAAGAUGCGACGCCGCGUGAGGGAUGAAGGUCUUCGGAUUGUAAACCUCUUUUAUUAGGGAGGAAAGCCAACCAGUGAAUAAUUGUUUGGUUUGACUGUACUUAGUGAAUAAGCCACGGCUAACUCCGUGCCAGCAGCCGCGGUAAUACGGAGGUGGCAAGCGUUACUCGGAAUGACUGGGUGUAAAGGGUCCGUAGGUGGCUAGAUAAGUGAAAGGUGAAAUCCUUCCGCUCAACGGAAGAACUGCCUUUCAAACUAUUUAGCUUGAGGUUGGAAGAGGAGAGCGGAACUGCUAGUGUAAAGGUGAAAUUUGUGGAUAUUAGCAGGAACGCCCGUGGAGAAGUCGGCUCUCUGGUCCAAAUCUGACACUGAGGGACGAAAGCUAGGGGAGCAAACAGGAUUAGAAACCCUAGUAGUCC